rnacentral:rRNA from 1 species
UACGAAGGGGGCUAGCGUUGUUCGGAAUUACUGGGCGUAAAGCGCGCGCAGGCGGUCUUCCAAGUCAGUGGUGAAAGCCCGGAGCUCAACUCCGGAACUGCCAUUGAAACUGUGAGACUUGAGGACGAGAGAGGUGAGUGGAAUUCCCAGUGUAGAGGUGAAAUUCGUAGAUAUUGGGAAGAACACCAGUGGCGAAGGCGGCUCACUGGCUCGGUACUGACGCUGAGGUGCGAAAGCGUGGGGAGCAAACAGG